AUGAAAAGGCCACAAAUCUUGUGCAAGAGAUGCAGAAAAGAGGCAUUGAACCAAAUGCCAUUACAUACUCAACAAUCAUUUCUAUUUGGGGUAAGGCAGGAAAAUUGGAUAGGGCAGCAAUGUUGUUCCAAAAGCUGAGGAGUUCAGGGGUUGAGAUUGAUCAAGUCCUUUAUCAAACCAUGAUUGUAGCUUAUGAGAGGGUAGGCUUGGUUGCUCAUGCCAAGCGUCUGCUUCAUGAGCUCAAAUGCCCUGAUAGUAUCCCUAGGGAGACUGCCAUUAAAAUUCUUGCCAGAGCUGGUAGGAUAGAAGAGGCCACGUGGGUUUUUCGUCAGGCUUUUGAUGAUGGUGAGGUGAAGGACAUAUCUGUAUUUGGAUGCAUGAUUGAUCUUUUCUCAAGAAACAAAAGGCCUGCAAAUGUCAUCGAGGUGUUUGAGAAGAUGAGAGGAUCUGGAUAUUUCCCAGAUUCUGAUGUGAUUGCUCUUGUCCUGAAUGCUUAUGGAAAGUUGAGGGAAUUUGAGAAGGCAGAUUCUUUAUAUAGGGAAAUGCAGGAAGAAGGGUG
rnacentral:misc_RNA from 1 species